GACGAACCGUGCGAACGUUGUUCGGAAUAACUGGGCUUAAAGGGUGCGUAGGCGGGUCCGCCAGUCUGUGGUGAAAUCCUCCCGCUCAACGGGAGAACUGCCGUGGAUACUGCGGACCUCGAGGAAGAUAGGGGCGUGCGGAACAGUUGGUGGAGCGGUGAAAUGCGUUGAUAUCAACUGGAACUCCGGUGGCGAAGGCGGCACGCUGGGUCUUUUCUGACGCUGAGGCACGAAAGCUCGGGGAGCAAACGGG
rnacentral:rRNA from 1 species